rnacentral:rRNA from 1 species
GUGGGGAAUAUUGGACAAUGGGCGCAAGCCUGAUCCAGCAAUGCCGCGUGUGUGAAGAAGGCCUUCGGGUUGUAAAGCACUUUUGGCAGGAAAGAAAUAGUGCGUGCUAAUACCAUGCGCGAAUGACGGUACCUGCAGAAUAAGCACCGGCUAACUACGUGCCAGCAGCCGCGGUAAGACGUAGGGUGCAAGCGUUAAUCGGAAUUACUGGGCGUAAAGCGUGCGCAGGCGGUUUUGUAAGACAGGUGUGAAAUCCCCGGGCUCAACCUGGGAACUGCACUUGGGACUGCAAGGCUAGAGUGUGUCAGAGGGAGGUGGAAUUCCGCGUGUAGCAGUGAAAUGCGUAGAGAUGCGGAGGAACACCGAUGGCGAAGGCAGCCUCCUGGGAUAACACUGACGCUCAGGCACGAAAGCGUGGGGAGCAAACAGGAUUAGAUACCCCAGUAGUCC